rnacentral:rRNA from 1 species
ACUGGAAGGAUUGACAGAUUGAGAGCUCUUUCUUGAUUCGGUGGGUGGUGGUGCAUGGCCGUUCUUAGUUGGUGGAGCGAUUUGUCUGGUUAAUUCCGAUAACGAACGAGACUCUAGCCUGCUAAAUAGGUGGCGGGUUUUGUGUUCCUUUUUCUUUACUUCGGUGGAGAAAAAUACACGUUUAAGGGUUCGGUGUUCGUCGGGAUCAGGGCGGGCUUCGGAGUCCGUUUCAGCGGGAGUCGGGAGAGGUUGGAGGGGCGGGGUGGUUCGCCAUUCUCGUCUUUUUCUUCCUCUGUCGACUUUUUUGCUGGGGCGGUUCUGGGGUCUUAGCUCCCCGGCGGUUCGCACCGUUCUCGCGUCCGUCACGAUUUCUUCUUAGAGGGACAAGCGGCGUCCAGCCGCGUGACAGUGAGCAAUAACAGGUCUGUGAUGCCCUUAGAUGUCCUGGGCCGCACGCGCGCUACACUGAAGGAAUCAGCGUGUCCUUCUCCCCCUGUCCGAAAGGACCGGGUAACCGCUGAACCUCCUUCGUGGUUGGGAUUGGGG